CCUACGGGCGGCAGCAGUGGGGAAUAUUGGACAAUGGAGGGAACUCUGAUCCAGCGACGCCGCGUGAGUGAAGAAGUACUUCGGUAUGUAAAGCUCUAUCAGCAGGGAAGAAAGAAAUGACGGUACCUGACUAAGAAGCCUCGGCUAACUACGUGCCAGCAGCCGCGGUAAUACGUAGGGGGCAAGCGUUAUCCGGAUUGACUGGGUGUAAAGGGAGCGUAGAUGGCGUUGCAAGUCAGGAGUGAAAGGCGGGGGCUCAACCCCCGAACUGCUUUGGAAACUGUAUGGCUGGAGUGCAGGAGAGGUAAGCGGAAUUCCUAGUGUAGCGGUGAAAUGCGUAGAUAUUAGGAGGAACACCAGUGGCGAAGGCGGCUUACUGGACUGUAACUGACGUUGAGGCUCGAAAGCGUGGGGAGCAAACAGGAUUAGAUACCCGUGUAGUC
rnacentral:rRNA from 1 species